UACGUAGGGGGCAAGCGUUGUCCGGAAUCAUUGGGCGUAAAGCGCGCGUAGGCGGCCCGGUAAGUCCGUUGUAAAAGUCGAAGGCUCAACCUUCGAAAGCCGAUGGAUACUGCCUGGCUAGAGUCCGGAAGAGGAGUGUGGAAUUCCUGGUGUAGCGGUGAAAUGCGUAGAGAUCGGGAAGAACAUCGGUGGCGAAAGCGCUCUGCUGGACUGCAACUGACACUCAGGGACGAAAGCUAGGGGAGCGAAUGGG
rnacentral:rRNA from 1 species